UGCAGACACAAGCCAUGUGCAUUGUGCAAUCAGUUUUUUUCUGAAGUUUAUGGUGGACAUUUCUGGCAGACUGGAUCAAAUGGAGGAAACAUUGGCAGCCACAGCCCGCAGAAAUGUACCUGAAGGAGACGAUAUUAAAUAUAAUGGCAGACUUUGAAAAUAUGAUGAUAGUUUCAAAAGAAGGAAAUCUCUGAGCAACAAACUGGUAAGAGUCCUCAAGAGUGUAGAAGGAAAGGAUCUGAACACACUUUUGUGUAAUAUGCUGCAACGAUUGGUG